GUCUUAGUAUACCUAAACCUAGCCUCAUCCUCAGAGUGUGCUCAUCUCAUCCGACUUUCUGCUGAUUAUCAACGAUUAUGGAUGUCUUCCCCGCAUCCUCAUUUUUAUAUAUUUUUUUUCCUCCAACAAGCUCUUGCGGUACCUUUCGAUUUCUUACCAUCUCUAGAUUUCUUUGAUUUAAAGCCUCUCUAUUUUAUAUUAUUUUUAUUUUUUUAUUUAUGUAGCUCUUGAUAUCUUUUCCAUCAGCCACCACUCUCCUCUCAUCUACUUGUCCUUUGUCUCCUUAUUGGCCAUCGCUCUCCUCUGUUAUUUUAGGAGUUCUUAUGGCCCCAGUAUCAGCAACAAUUCUCCUUUCCCAUAAGCAAGUCACAGGCAGCAGAGAGGUCAACAAUUCUCUUCUGUGAUUAUUGGGAGUUUUUCUCUUAAUAGCCCAGAUGGAAGAAUCUUUUGCACUUAAAUCUAUGCUACUUAAUGGGUUUUAUUAAUUUCUUAGGACACGCGAUGAAAUAUUAUCUACCCUUCAGAUAUUGGCUUCCCUCGGAAAACAGCUAUCUUGGGAAAUGAAGAUGUUGGUGGUCGUUCUAAUCAACUAUACAAUAGCAGUGGCAAUUGAACAUGAGCUCCAAACCCAUCCCAACUCAAAUUACAAAAUAUGUGCUAGAAAUAUUCGUCUCCUAUUGGGUUAUAUGGCAAUUGUGCUACUUGCUUUGAUUCAGGUUCUCAUCUAUGGUGUGUUACUUUUGAGUUUAUGGGUCUACUUGGUAAUACGAGUUGCAGUCAACCCAUGUGAAGACCUAUGUCUAUUGGUAGGUAGAGAUUUGCAACACCUAAAAAGGCUAGCUGAAGAUGCAAUCCACAGGCUAUUUGGUAGGCAGGAGUGAGUCACCAAAUCAUUUGUCUAGUUAAGUUUAUCAUUUUGGUAAAUGUGAUAUCUUUACAAUUUUAGAUAUCUCUAUAACAUGUAUAAUUUUAGCAAUAAUUUUAAAGGUUUAAAUGUGAUAGUUUAGACCAUAUUAAUGUAUCUAAGUUGUAUGAUUAAUAUUUGAGUUGUAGAAUUUUGUUCAUUGAAAUUUUGAAAUUUAUUUAUGUA